GCAGUGGACAGCUGUUUGCUGGUGUUCUGUGUGAUGGAGGCUGUGUUUAAGAUCCUGGUGCGGGGACGUACAUACUUCAGGAACCCCUGGAAUGAUUUGGAUUUCUUUAUUGUGCUCAUGAGUUUGGUGGACUUUACGCUGUCGCUGGUGCAGUCAGCAGGAGGCUUUAGCAGUAGACUUUGAAAGGAGCCCGAGCAUUCAGAGCUUUACGUCUGCUCAAAGCCAUCCGCUUCUUCAAGGGUCUCCAGGCCAUCCUUUUAACCUGCCUUCAGUCUUUGCGGUCCAUGAGCUCCAUCAUCAUCCUCAUGUUCCUGUUCCUGUUUAUUUUUGCUAUGAUAUUCCGGGAGACGUUUAAGGAGUCAGACAUGGAACAAUUCGGGAGCAUAUUCAGGACCAUCUUCACCCUCUUUCUGAUUCUCAC